UACGGGGGGAGCAAGCGUUGUUCGGAUUUACUGGGCGUAAAGGGCGCGUAGGCGGCGUGACAAGUCACUUGUGAAAUCUCCGGGCUUAACUCGGAGCGGCCAAGUGAUACUGUCGUGCUAGAGUGCGGAAGGGGCUACUGGAAUUCUCGGUGUAGCGGUGAAAUGCGUAGAUAUCAGGAGGAACACCGAUAGCGAAGGCAGCUCGCUGGGACGGUACUGACGCUGAGGCGCGAAAGCGUGGGGAGCGAACAGG
rnacentral:rRNA from 1 species